GCAGAUCGACUUGCAAUGUUGAGCAGAUCACCAUGUUAAAAGAUGAGCAUUUAGAGAAGUGUGUGCUCGCCAAGGAUCCAAUGGGUUUCUGAAGAGUUGGCUGCACAUCGUUGGUGUCCGAUGCACUAUCAGGGGGGAGUGGCGGGUCAAGGUGCGCUCAUCGGCGCCGCUGCUGACCGGCAGAUCCAGGCGCACCCUCGGUGCACGCAGGGGGGUGAUCUACGACGACCUCCUGGGCACGACACCGCUGGAGACGGUGAGAAACA